UUCAAAACUUCCUGGUUUACGUGAUCAGGAAAUCGGGUAAAAGGAACAAGAUGUUGCCCGGUAGAAGAUUUUGGCCAUCGUCAGUUCUGAUAUGUAUGACGACCCUGUACCUUUACUUUGGAAUAUGUAAAACUGUGGUCCUGCCAUGUUUUGAGUGCGCCUGCAAUAAUUCCACUCACUACUACAAUGGAACUGAUUGUAUCACCAAGAUCAAAUCAGGGGAAGGACCAUGCUACAACGUGCUCAACGAAUGUACAACAAGCGCGGUGUGCACGGGCAUUGGUGGUAUAUGCAACUGUACUGAAGGUUACUAUGACAAUGGAACUGGGUGUGCAGCUAGUAAGUUUUUCUUUUGUGAACUAUGUUAUCAAUUGAGACAUAUUUCAUGCUUGCUAUUCAUAAAUUAAAUGAAUACUUAUUCAAAACGCAUGAUAACUUACUACAUAUUGGUUAUAUUUUGUUCUUGUACUCAGAGUAUGCUGUUUAGCUGUACAGGCUUCAUAUCAUUUGCUUUGUUUUUUAGGCAAGGAUUAUGUCUUAAAGAUAUCCCGGCCUAAUAUAGCAGUCUCUUGUGGGGACAAGUAGUUUAUGCAUGUCAGUAGAAAGCUUCACGAACUCUUAGGAUAGAAUAACGCUUUGAGGUAGUGUUAUAAUAAUAGUGUUAGAAUCCAUAUCACUUCUCAACCAGAUAUCAACAUACAAUAUGAAAUGGAUUCAUUUCUACCUUAGGACCAUUGAUAUCAACUUAUAGGGCUUGUGUCAAAUGUAUCAGCAAGGUAGCUUUUAUAAAUAUAUUUCAAAAGUUUCAUAUUCAAUGCUAUUUGAAUAUAUUUGUUACUACUCAAUAUAACUUAGUGCAUUAUCCAUUUACAUUUGAACUGUGACGAUACUUGUUAGUUAUUUUUCAGAUUAGCUUACAUAGUAUGUACAGAUCAUUCAGAUGUAGUGCAGAACAUCCAGAUGACAGGCAAACGUCGUAAUGACGUUAUGUAUGACUGUAUUUACCUACCAGAUCGUGCAUGCGCAUAUACAGUCUGUAGCAUGCAUGUUCAUGGGUUUUUACAAUAUAUAGCCAAUCCUUUUAUGUGCGUGUAAAAAAACAACAACAAAAAAACAAAAACAAAAACAAAAAAACCCCAAUGACAUCCAAUCCCUAGAGUGCAUGCAUAGUCUCUCGUCAAUCCCUAUUAUUGCUAUAAAAAGAAAAGAAAAAAAGACUCCCAUUAUGUUCAGGUGAAGUAUCUGUAAAUAUGUUGCUUAUCAAUAUCGAUUUAUAAUGACGUUACACAGUAAAUAUUAUUUCUCUAUCAUCAUAUUAUCCUUGUUGUUGUAUUUAUGUAGUUAUAUUUGUUUUUGACAUCUUGUUAGACAGGAUUUGGAAGAUUUUAUAUUGAUGUCUCAUAAAUGUAACAUAUUCCUCGGGUUAUUUCAGUCAAGUAUUACUGCUGAUAUUAUCUAAAAUAUUGAUUUUAUGUUAAAAUUUGUAAUGUGUGUCUAUGUUGAAGAAAUGAUAAUCACUGAUAUGUGCAGCUCUUCUUAUGGCGUAUGGUUUGCAUUAUUCUAAUGACAACGUAAGCUGAAAGCGUGUGAAAAACUUUGACAAAAACAUUAAAGGUAGGUAUGGACAACGCAAGGAAAUUACUAUUUCAAAUAAUUCAAAGGUGAGUAAAGAAGGUAGACCGAAAUCACCUUAGUAUGUUUCAACUAGAACCGGUGAGUUCCAUUUGUAAAUUCAUGAUAAAUAUAUCCACUUGCAAUAUAUCCUACUCACUCACCUAAUCAGAACAUGCAAUUUAGUUACAGAUAUUGAAUAUUAAUGCAUUAAACAAUAUAAUCCACUUGUUUCAUAGCUUACUUGCAUAACUAAUCAAAACAUGCUUAUAUUUUUCUGUGCGCUCAUUGGAGUGUUGCCGACUAAAACAUCAAAGAUUCACUACUAUUAUUCUGUAAAUAGAAAUAAUGCUUGCAGAUCUAGCCUACAAAAUCAGGUACGUACUUUUUGCUUCAAACAAUAACAGUGACCACCCCAGUCAAUCAAAGUAGGUACGUAUAUUGGGGUGUAACGGAAUAAUGCUUCAAUUCAAAUCAUUCGUUUCAUAAAGCUUUAUUACUGCAUUAACCAACGAUUGCG